rnacentral:rRNA from 1 species
UACAGAGACUGCAAGCGUUAUUCGGAUUCACUGGGCGUAAAGGGUGCGCAGGCGGCCGAGUGUGUUAGAUGUGAAAUCCCGGGGCUCAACCCCGGAACUGCGUCUAAAACUACUUGGCUAGAGUAUUGGAGAGGGUAGCGGAAUUCACGGUGUAGCAGUGAAAUGCGUAGAUAUAGGAAGGAACACCAGUGGCGAAGGCGACUACCUGGACUGAUACUGACACUGAGGUGCGAAAGCGUGGGGAGCAAACAGGAUUAGAUACCCCGGUAGU